GAUGAACGCUGGCGGCGUGCCUAAUACAUGCAAGUCGAGCGAACGGACGAGAAGCUUGCUUCUCUGAUGUUAGCGGCGGACGGGUGAGUAACACGUGGAUAACCUACCUAUAAGACUGGGAUAACUUCGGGAAACCGUAGCUAAUACCGGAUAAUAUUUUGAACCGCAUGGUUCAAAAGUGAAAGACGGUCUUGCUGUCACUUAUAGAUGGAUCCGCGCUGCAUUAGCUAGUUGGUAAGGUAACGGCUUACCAAGGCAACGAUGCAUAGCCGACCUGAGAGGGUGAUCGGCCACACUAGAACUAAGACACGGUCCAGACUCCUACGGGAGGCAGCAGUGGGGAAUCUUCCGCAAUGGGCGAAAGCCUGACGGAGCAACGCCGCGUGAGUGAUGAAGGUCUUCGGAUCGUAAAACUCUGUUAUUAGGGAAGAACAUAUGUGUAAGUAACUGUGCACAUCUUGACGGUACCUAAUCAGAAAGCCACGGCUAACUACGUG
rnacentral:rRNA from 1 species